CGGAAAUUCUCUUGUCUGGAUCUACUACGAGCAUCUUUGAUAAUAAAUCUCUAGCUUGACUGGUUUUUAACUUGUCACGGUCAGAUUCUGAUGGAAAUAUCCAGUCUGGGAAGAGCUCUUCAAAUUUAAUACCUGGAUAUUUUGGCCUGUUUUCUACAUAAUUCCUCACUGUAGGCUGUAGUUUCUUCAUGAAUUCUGCUGAGGGCGUUCCUAGUUGUUCAAUUACUUUAUUCCAUUGAUCAAUAUGAUCAGUGCCUUGGAAUAUCACACAACCUUUCACCAAUUCUCCCAUGAUGCAACCAACUGACCAGAUAUCAACAUUCUCUUUAUAUCCCAUUCCAAGGAUAACCUCUG
rnacentral:lncRNA from 1 species